UGCAGGGGUGUUGCGAGGACUUAGAGGUCGUGCGCCGGCCGAAGCAGCAAGAGCAAUGAUCUGGCGGCCUCUCUUCUCUGCCACAGUUCCCUUCUCUUCAUUCAGCUCUCGAGACGUCGACCUGCAGGUGCUAGAGUUUGUCCGUGUGUUGUUUAUGCUCAGGUUUAAUCUCCACAAAAGAUGGCCCACACUACUUUACAAGGAACUGCUGUUGUCCAGUUUAGAGGCAAACCAUUGUUUAACAACGGAUAUGCGGAGGCGUUUUUAUGGAUGUGCAUUUCCCCUGAAUCUAGACAGCUAUUCAACCUGUUGCGGACAUUUUUGGUGGAAUUCAAUGCUUCAGCAGAUGUGCCGGCGCUGCUGCCUGCGCCUUCUCCAGCGCCGCCUCGGUCACCAGCGCCAACUCCGGUCAGUGGUCUCCGGCACGCCCUCGCGGCUGGACGAGGCAGAGAUGUGCCGAGGAUCCCCACGCCCUUGGUUCUCAUGUUCUCUGCUCCCAGCCGCAGCAGAUCGUGCCAAAGGCAUUAUCGUGAGGAGGGAAGCGGCUGCAGAUUAAGGACAACGCGGGUUAAGAGCAUGGUCAUAGUCUAGGAGCACGCCCGGUGGUCGUUUUGGGAUUGGAGACAUCACCCUUCUUGUCCGCUGCCCAACUCCGUCGCAGCCCAGGCCUAGCAGGCGAUAGAGGCACGGCGAGGACUCACUGCAAAGAAGCCAUGGGAGGAGGACCCCGACUCGGAUGACGGCUGCUGGAAGAUCACGCACUUAUUCGGCCCACAGACAGGCUCCGCUUAUGGCUUAUCCAAGGU
rnacentral:rRNA from 1 species